rnacentral:misc_RNA from 1 species
GGAAGGAUCAUUGAAUCUAUCACAAUCAACCACACACGCGAACCACUCAUGUUGGCCUCAAGCGGUUUCGGCCGCUUGGCGGGCGUUGAGCUUGCUUCACCGCGCUCGGCGUCUGGGCCUGGGACACCCUCUCACCAGGGUGUGUCGGGCUGGUCUCUUAUCAAACCAACCAACACCAAACCAUUACCUCUAAAGCAAACUGAUUGUUCGGCUUAGAGCCGACGAUCUCUAACCAAGACAACUCUCAACAACGGAUAUCUUGGCUCUCGCAACGAUGAAGAACGCAGCGAAAUGCGAUACGUAAUGUGAAUUGCAGAAAUACGUGAACCAUCGAAUCUUUGAACGCAUAUUGCGCUCGAGGCUUCGGCCAAGAGCAUGUCUGCCUCAGCGUCGCUUAAACCCCUCACUCACCCAACCCCUGGGUUGGUUCAAGAGUGGAACUGGCUUUCCCAGCGCCUCACCGUGCUGGGUCGGCUGAAGCGCAGAGAUUGAUGUAUGGACCCGUUAUGGGCCUCGGCUGGGUAGGCAAUUCUUUGCUAAUGCUUUAGCCGCUGGCUUGGGACCGUGCGUCGAUCCAAACCAGGAAUCGGGGGCAACCCCGAUUUUUAAACUUCGACCUGAGCUCAGGCAAGAACACCCGCUGAACUUAAGCAUAUCAAUAAGCGGAGGAAAAGAAACUAACAAGGAUGUCCCUAGUAACGGCGAGUGAAGCGGACAUAGCCCAACUUGAAAAUCUCCCUCUGGAGAAUUGUAGUCUAUAGAAGUGCCCUCUGCGGCAAGCACAGCUCAAGUCCACUGGAAGGUGGCGUCAGAGAGGGUGAGAACCCCGUCGGUUGUGUCUUUGCUGCUCCACGAGGUACUUUCCACGAGUCGGGUUGUUUGGGAAUGCAGCCCUAAUUUGGUGGUAAAUCCCAUCUAAGGCUAAAUAUUGGCGAGAGACCGAUAGCGAACAAGUACCGUGAGGGAAAGAUGAAAAGAACUUUGAAAAGAGAGUCAAAAAGUGCUUGAAAUUGUUGAGGGGGAAGCGGUUGGACGACGUAGGUGCGCCCAGGCUCAAGCAGUCCUAACGGGCUGUUGAAUGUGCUGGGUGCUGGUCCACACGGGUUACUUUGGCGGGAUAACAGUCGGGAACGUAGGUAGCCCGGCCGAUGCCGCCGAAGUGACCAAGGCGUAAAUCCAGCUCUGUCCUUCGGGAACUGCUGGAUAAAGGUGUGGGCAGAAGUCUUUCAACCGGCCCGUCUUGAAACACGGACCAAGGAGUCUAACAUGUAUGCGAGUUGGUGGGUUGUAAACCCAUAAGCGCAAGUAACCUGACUGGAGGGAUGGCGCAAGCCUGCACCUUCGACCGACCAUGAUCUUCUGUGAAAGGUUUGAGUGCGAGCAUACCUGUUGGGACCCGAAAGAUGGUGAACUAUGCCUGAGCAGGGUGAAGCCAGAGGAAACUCUGGUGGAGGCUCGUAGAUGUGCUGACGUGCAAAUCGCUUUUCGGACUUGGGUAUAGGGGCGAAAGACUAAUCGAACCAUCUAGUAGCUGGUUCCCUC